rnacentral:lncRNA from 10 species
CCCGUCUGCACUAAAAAUACAAAAUUAGCCAGGCAUGGUGCCACAUGCCUGUAAUCCCAGCUACUCGGGAGGCUGAGGCAGGAGAAUUGCUUGAACCCAGGAGGCAGAGGUUGUUGUGAGCCAAGAUCGCGCCAUUGCACUCCAGUCUUGGCAACAAGAGCAAAACGCUGUCUCAAAAAAAAAAAAAAAAAAAAAAAAUUUAAAACAGCAACAACAACAACACACGGUGCUAAUCAAAGAUGUCUGUGGGCUGAAUUCACUUCAAAGGCAGCUCCCAUUUGUGAACUUUAGCUUAGAUUUUACAAUUGUCUUUGUGAAUUAACAUUUGCCCUUGAAAGGUGUGUUUGCAUGUGUGGAUCUAGGUCAGUGUGUUCCAACAGUUACUGGCUGGACAAUUUUAAGGAUAAAGAAGCAUAUUUGUCACUCACAGUGGUGAGGAAACAAACACUUGGAGGGCCCAUGUACCCACCUGGGCUCUUCUGUGGCCUGGAAUACCAAAAGCUAUGACAAGUUUGCGAGAGUUGUCUGAAGCAUUUGGAGGUUUUUUUGACCAAAUAACUCAGACUUGGAGAAUGAACCACUGGGAGAGGCAAGAGAGAGUUCCCAGGAUGAGACCAACUCUGUGAGUAAUGACUGGAGGUUCCCAAAGGAAGAGGCUGUGGGCAGAGUGGCUCCCGCCUGCAAUUCCAAUGUUUCAGGAGGCCGAGGCAAGAAGAUUCAUUGAGGUUAUGAGUUCAAGACAAGCCUGGGAAACAUAACUUAAAAGAGCUCUACUUGCCAGCUCCUGCAUUAUACAUAAAUAGAAAGGAAGAAAGAUGAGCUAAAGAUCCUGGAAAGUAGAAAAUCCAAUUGUUAUUCUGGAUUCUAAACAUUACCUGUGUGGCCUUGGAUAAACUUGAAUCUUUUCAUAUAUAAAACAAAGGAAGUUGAAUUAAAUUAUUUCUAACCCACCCUCCAGUUGAAUAUUCUAUGAUUUCAUCUGACAAACCCUCCCUCUUUUCAUCCUUGUUGUGUGUGAAAUGCUCCAUCACUCAUCACAGAUGCUUAAAAUAAAAUAGCUCUCUCUCUGUAUAGAAUGUCUGCCUUUUUUUCUCCAGAUAGUCAUGGCACCAUGUUGACAUUUUAAAGAUCCAAAUGAAGAGACAAAGAAGGAAAUAAAUAACCCCCUAUAAUCCUAUCACCAAAGGAUUUUGUUAUAAUCUAAUAUUGCCUUU